GGCUGGUUAGCUCAGUCAGUUGAGCGUGGUGCUGAUAACACCAAGGUUGUGGGUUCAACUCCCGUUCAGUCC
rnacentral:tRNA from 1 species